UACUAAAAAUACAAAAAUUAGCCAGGCGUAGUGGCGGGCGCCUGUAAUCCCAGCUACUGAGGAGGCUGAGGCAGGAGAAUUGCUUGAACCCAGGAGGCAGAGGUUGCAGUGAGCUGAGAUUGCACCACUGUACUCCAGCCUGGGUGACAGAGCAAGACUCUGUCUCAAAAAAAAAAAAAAUAUGUCUUGGCUGGGCACGGCGGCUCAUGCCUGUAAUCCUAGCACUUUGGGAGGGCGAGGUGGGCAGAUCACUUGAAGCCAGGAGUUUGAGAGCAGCCUGGCCAACAUGGCAAAACCUCAGCUCUACUAAAAAUACAAAAAUUAGCCGGGCAUGGUGAUGCGCACCUGUGGUCCCAGCUAUUCAGGAGGCUGAGGCACAGGAAUCACUUGAACCCGGGAGGCAAAGUUGCGGUGAGCUGAGAUCAUGCAACUGCACUCCAGCCUGGCUGAUGCGCGAGAUCGUAUCUCAAAAAAAAAAAAAGUGAAAAAACAAGAGUAUGUCUUUUAUUAUUUUUACUGCCCCUUCUUGUAACUAGGUUCCCUUUAGCAUUUUUUUACUAUUCAUACCCUUCAAUCUAUGCAUAUGUGUAUAAUCCAGGUUUGGUAUAGGAGUGCAGUUCACAGGACAAACUUGGGACUCCAGACUCCUUGAAUUCAAAUCUUGGUUCCAAUUACCAACUUAUAUAACCAUAGAGAGGUUAUUUGACCUUCCCAAACCUUGGCUUCUUGAUUUUCUCUGUGUAGAAUAGGGUUAAUAAUAGUAUUUGCCUCAUAUGAUGAUAAAGAAGAUGGUAAGGAUAUUGGUAAUGAAGGAGUGAUGAGAGAAUCUGUGCAAAGUGCUCGAUAAAUGUCACCUGCUGCCAUUUUGGCUAGGAAUCAUCCUUGAUCCCAUUUUCUCCAGACUUCCCACAUGUAGAUUAUCAGUAAGUCCUAAGGACUCUGUCUUCAAAACACAUCCUGAUGUCUCCAUCCUUGUGCAGACCACUGCCGUCUCCCACCUGCAAUAUUGCACAGCCUCUUAAUUAGUCGCACUGAUACUGUUUCUUGUACCCCUACCAUCUAUUCAUCCCAGAGCAGCUGAGGUCAUUUUUUUAAACAUAGAUUGUGUCAUUUUCAUGACUGGAACCUUCCAUUAGCUUACUGUUUUACUUAGUAUAAAACCCAAACUCCUUGUGUGGCCUUAGCCCUGAAGUUUUUUGGCCUCUGCUUCCUUCUCAUGCCAGCUUCCUGCUUGCCCAUUAGUCUCCAACCACACUGGCAUCCUUUUGGCUCUGUGAGUGUGCCAAGCUCAUACCUGCUAUAGAGCCUUAACACUAGCUGUUCGCUCUCCAGGAAUAACUUUUCCCCAUCCUGCCAUGACUGGCUUUUUCUUGUAUUCAGGUCUCAGCUCAAAUGUCAGUUCAUCAGAGAGACCUCCAACUACCAACUUAAGUGGCCCCUUCAGUCACUAUCUAUAACAGGGGUAUCCAAUCUUUGGCUUCCCUGAGCCACAUCGGAAGAAGAAUUAUCUUGGGCCACACAUAAAAUAUACUAACACUAAUGAUAGCUGAUGAGCUUAAAAAAAAAAAAAAAAAAAGAGAAAAGAAUCACAAAAAAAUCUCAUAAUGUUUUAAGAAAGUUUAUGAAUUUGUGUUGGGCCACAUUCAAAGCCAUCUUGGGCCAUGGGUUGAACAAGCUUGAUCUGUAAUAUUACAUUACUUUAUUUUAUUUUUUAUUAUCUCCAAUUUUACUAAUUAUUUGUCUCCACCAGAAUGGAAGUUCUCUGAGAGCAAGGCCCUCAUCUUCCUUGGUCUCUAUAUGUCUCCAGUGACAAGACAUUGGCUGGCACAUCAUAGAUGUACAUCAAUUUGUAUUUG
rnacentral:lncRNA from 1 species